UAGGGAAUCUUGCGCAAUGGGCGAAAGCCUGACGCAGCCAUGCCGCGUGAAUGAUGAAGGUCUUAGGAUUGUAAAAUUCUUUCACCGGGGAAGAUAAUGACGGUACCCGGAGAAGAAGCCCCGGCUAACUUCGUGCCAGCAGCCGCGGUAAUACGAAGGGGGCUAGCGUUGCUCGGAAUUACUGGGCGUAAAGGGCGCGUAGGCGGAUGUUUAAGUCGUGGGUGAAAGCCCGGGGCUCAACCUCGGAAUUGCCUUCGAUACUGGACAUCUUGAGUACGGGAGAGGUGAGUGGAACUCCGAGUGUAGAGGUGAAAUUCGUAGAUAUUCGGAAGAACACCAGUGGCGAAGGCGACUCACUGGCCCGUUACUGACGCUGAGGCGCGAAAGCGUGGGGAGCAAACAGG
rnacentral:rRNA from 2 species